AAGCUCCUGUCCUCAUGUCCUUCAUACCAGAUCCUGGGACUUCAAAUUAGCACUUUCUGCCAGGACUUUGCUGUCUUAGCUUUUCAUAUUGCCAAGCACCAGGCAAAGCCAGUGCAUGAAGCUGAGAGCUGCAGAAGUAGAUUCAAGUGGAGCUGCAGUGCAACUUCACCUUUCACUGAGGACACCUGAUUUUCAGAAAUGCUGCAAACAGCCAAGGAAUAUUAUAAGCAAGCAGCAGAAGAUGCAGCUUACCCCUGGCAACUCCUCAACUUGCGGUUUUGCCAUAGGAAUGUAAGAGUUCCAUACAGAGUGCCUUUGAAAAUCAGAGACUAAUUUAGUUUCUAAAUUAAGUCUGA